rnacentral:rRNA from 1 species
UACGGAGGGUGCGAGCGUUGUCCGGAAUCACUGGGCGUAAAGGGCGCGUAGGCGGCGCGGUAAGCGUGCGGUGAAAGCCCGGGGCUCAACCCCGGGUCGGCCGUGCGGACUGCCGGGCUCGAGCACUGUAGAGGCGGGUGGAAUUCCGGGUGUAGCGGUGGAAUGCGUAGAGAUCCGGAAGAACACCGGUGGCGAAGGCGGCAUCCUGGACCAAUACUGACACUGAGGAGCGAAAGCCAGGGGAGCAAACGGG